GAGCGAACGCUGGCGGCAGGCUUAACACAUGCAAGUCGAGCGGGCGUAGCAAUACGUCAGCGGCAGACGGGUGAGUAACGCGUGGGAACAUACCUUUUGGUUCGGAACAACACAGGGAAACUUGUGCUAAUACCGGAUAAGCCCUUACGGGGAAAGAUUUAUCGCCGAAAGAUUGGCCCGCGUCUGAUUAGCUAGUUGGUGAGGUAACGGCUCACCAAGGCGACGAUCAGUAGCUGGCUGAGAGGAUGAUCAGCCACAUUGGGACUGAGACACGGCCCAAACUCCUACGGGAGGCAGCAGUGGGAAUAUUGGACAAUGGACGCAAGCCUGAUCCAGCCAUGCCGCGUGAGUGAUGAAGGCCCUAGGGUUGUAAAGCUCUUUUGUGCGGGAAGAUAAUGACGGUACCG
rnacentral:rRNA from 1 species